rnacentral:piRNA from 1 species
UUCAAAAUUGCACAAUGGGAACCACGGGC